rnacentral:rRNA from 1 species
UACGGGGGGGGCAAGCGUUGUUCGGAAUUACUGGGCGUAAAGGGCUCGUAGGCGGCCAACUAAGUCGGACGUGAAAUCCCCAGGCUCAACCUGGGAACUGCGUCCGAUACUGGAUGGCUUGAAUCCGGGAGAGGGAUGCAGAAUUCCAGGUGUAGCGGUGAAAUGCGUAGAUAUCUGGAGGAAUACCGGUGGCGAAGGCGGCAUCCUGGACCGGCAUUGACGCUGAAGCGCGAAAGCUAGGGUAGCAAACAGG